GAUCAUGGCUCAGGAUGAACGCUAGCUACAGGCUUAACACAUGCAAGUCGAGGGGAAACGACAUCGAAAGCUUGCUUUUGGUGGGCGUCGACCGGCGCACGGGUGAGUAACGCGUAUCCAACCUGCCCACCACUUGGGGAUAACCUUGCGAAAGUAAGACUAAUACCCAAUGAUAUCCCACGAAGGCAUCCGAAUGGGAUUAAAGAUUUAUCGGUGAUGGAUGGGGAUGCGUCUGAUUAGCUUGUUGGCGGGGUAACGGCCCACCAAGGCAACGAUCAGUAGGGGUUCUGAGAGGAAGGUCCCCCACAUUGGAACUGAGACACGGUCCAAACUCCUACGGGAGGCAGCAGUGAGGAAUAUUGGUCAAUGGGCGAGAGCCUGAACCAGCCAAGUAGCGUGCAGGAUGACGGCCCUAUGGGUUGUAAACUGCUUUUAUAAGGGAAUAAAGUGAGCCUCGUGAGGCUUUUUGCAUGUACCUUAUGAAUAAGGACCGGCUAAUUCCGUG
rnacentral:rRNA from 1 species